rnacentral:tRNA from 1 species
GGCUUUAUAUUCAACAAUGAUUCUAGACUGCAAUUCUAGAGGUGUAAAAUUUUACUAAGGCCU